UUCCAGACUCCUACGGGAGGCAGCAGUGAGGAAUAUUGGUCAAUGGGCGGAAGCCUGAACCAGCCAAGUCGCGUGAGGGAUUAAGGCCCUAUGGGUCGUAAACCUCUUUUGUCAGGGAGCAAGGUCGUCCACGUGUGGGCGUAUGGAGAGUACCUGAAGAAAAAGCAUCGGCUAACUCCGUGCCAGCAGCCGCGGUAAUACGGAGGAUGCGAGCGUUAUCCGGAUUUAUUGGGUUUAAAGGGUGCGUAGGCGGGACCUUAAGUCAGCGGUAAAAAUUCGGGGCUCAACCCCGUCCGGCCGUUGAAACUGGGGGCCUUGAGUGGGCGAGAAGAAGGCGGAAUGCGUGGUGUAGCGGUGAAAUGCAUAGAUAUCACGCAGAACCCCGAUUGCGAAGGCAGCCUUCCGGCGCCCUACUGACGCUGAGGCACGAAAGUGCGGGGAUCGAACAGGAUUAGAUCCCCCGGUA
rnacentral:rRNA from 1 species